GGCAUGGUGGCUUAGUGGUUAGCACGUUUGCCUCGCAUCUCCAGGGUUAGAGGUUUGAUUCCUGCCUCUGCCC